UCAUAAUGUAAUUUCUAAAAGAUGGAACAGAGCUAGAGACCCACACAGAAUAGAACUACAGAUCAACCCCGUAAAAACCUUAUUUUCAUCUUCCCCAAUCCUCUUGGUCGAGAACCUCAUGGUUCGUCAGCCUGCAACUACGACGAUGGUGACACAGCCACUUAUUCCUCCCGUGAUACAAGCUUCAUGAACCAACCAUGGCUGCCCCCUUUUCCUGACAACGGACGAGGAAGCGACGCAGACUCUUCUCCCUUCUCCCGCGACUAUGUCAACGGUGACAACGUUAAUUCCAACACAAUCCUUCUUCUUUCGCUUCCCCUCCCGUCAGUUAGUGUUCGGGAACUACAUCUAUUUUGCUGUGCAGUUUCAUCUCCGCUGAGCCCAGCACCCCGCCGCUGUCAAUUUUCGAUGGCCAAUUGCUCCAGGAGCAAUAUCAGAGUCCAACUCCGAUGGAUAUCAUGGAAACGACGGAGACAAAGGUUGCAGAAACAACAUUUUUACAAGAUGGGAGAAAGGUAAAAUGGUUCUAUUGGAUAAAUUACUUUCCAAACUAAAGGAACGGGAUUCCACGGUACUUAAAUUUACACAGGCUGUUAGAUAUACUUGAAGAUUAUUUAAUGUUUCAAGGAUACCAACAUUCCCGCAUAGAAGACAAUAUUGAUGGAGAACAUCGUCAUGCUUCCAUUGCUGUUUUUGUUGCCAUUAAUCUUGCUACUGCUGACAUUGACAUUCUUUAUGACAGUGACUGGUUGACCUAUAAGCUCAAGAUCAGGCUCAUAGGAUUCGCCAGAAGAAAGAAGUUGAAGUUUACAUAUUCUGCUCAGAGUGAAAGUUCUUUGUUAGAGUGACGUGUUACAUGCUCAAAACCACAAGUUCUAGCUCAGGCUUGGCUAUUCAAUAUUUGCUCACAACAAAUAUCAUCGAAUGAAGAAGAACCUUUGGUGUUUAAAAAGAAAAAAAAGCUAGCAUCGGAAAAGCCGAGACAACGUGAAUCAUUUGAUCAAGAAGAAAUCAACGGCACAAAUGACAUUACAUCAGCAGAUGAAGUACAAAUUUUGAUUCAAACCUUGAGGAACACAUCUAAGAGAACCAAAGUUAGCAAUACAAACACCACAAGGAAGCCAAAAAGAUUAACAAGACAAAAAAAAAAUAGAGAGUUAUUCUAUGUGUAGCUUAUAUUUCAUUUCCUACAAUUUACAUUAUGUAUUUGAUUAUUUUAUUUCAAAAUCAAAUGCUUAUUUUAAUUA